rnacentral:misc_RNA from 1 species
GAAAUGCGAUAAGUAAUGUGAAUUGCAGAAUUCAGUGAAUCAUCGAAUCUUUGAACGCACAUUGCGCCCGCCAGUAUUCUGGCGGGCAUGCCUGUUCGAGCGUCAUUACAACCCUCAGGCCCCCGGGCCUGGCGUUGGGGAUCGGCGGAAGCCCCCUGCGGGCACAACGCCGUCCCCCAAAUACAGUGGCGGUCCCGCCGCAGCUUCCAUUGCGUAGUAGCUAACACCUCGCAACUGGAGAGCGGCGCGGCCACGCCGUAAACACCCAACUUCUGAAUGUUGACCUCGAAUCAGGUAGGAAUACCCGCUGAACUUAAGC